rnacentral:sRNA from 1 species
AGCCACAUUAGUUUGACUGGGAAACUCAUCAAAUUAAUCUGAAAACCGAGACAGGCUUCGAUUCUCAAUGGCGGGCCACAACCUUCGGGUAGCAUUUAUGCCGGUGGAUUACAAAGAGGGCGGGCACUCAAAUCAUGUCAUACGGAGUUUCAUCACAUCACUGGUGUGGCUUUAUAU